AGAACGAACGCUGGCGGCAGGCUUAACACAUGCAAGUCGAGCGCCGUAGCAAUACGGAGCGGCAGACGGGUGAGUAACGCGUGGGAACAUACCCUCCGGUUCGGAAUAACUCAGGGAAACUUGAGCUAAUACCGGAUACGGCUUAGCGGCGAAAGAUUUAUCGCCGGAGGAUUGGCCCGCGUCCGAUUAGCUAGUUGGUGUGGUAACGGCGCACCAAGGCGACGAUCGGUAGCUGGUCUGAGAGGAUGAUCAGCCACAUUGGGACUGAGACACGGCCCAAACUCCUACGGGAGGCAGCAGUGGGGAAUAUGGACAAUGGGCGCAAGCCUGAUCCAGCCAUGCCGCGUGAGUGAUGAAGGCCUUAGGGUUGUAAAGCUCUUUCACCCACGACGAUAAUGACGGUAGUGGGAGAAGAAGCCCCGGCUAACUUCGCGCCAGCAGCCGC
rnacentral:rRNA from 1 species